rnacentral:rRNA from 1 species
GCCUGUUUGAGUGUCAU